GGGAACAAAUGUAAAAUAAAGAUAUCCUGUACCAUGUAAGAAUAAAAAGAAAGUAAAUGAGUGUGAAUGCAAUAUCUAUCUGAUAAGGCAGCGCGUGUGUGUGUGUGUGUGUACACACUAUACCUGGUUGUUAGAGAUGGACACUCGUAGAGGAGACAGCUUCCUCUGUUUGCUGUCGUUGUUCGGUUUACUCUUGGGUCCUUCACAGUCCAGGGUGAGGUUCUGGUUCUGUCCGGCCUCGUCCCGAAUCGCCGGCUCUUUAUCUUUCCUUCCUCUGCGCCGUGUAGCAGAACCCAGGUUCUCCGUUGGCUCCAGGUUGUGUUUGAGAACAGGACAUUCCUGAUUCCCUCUUACACAUGCACAGUCCACCUUAUAUUUACUACACACACAGACAGAGAGAUGAGUGUCAAAGAGGGUGUACAUGGUUAUUCUAUACUUUUUUGAGAAGGUGAAUGUUGCUGAUUUUUGAAGGUGAAAUGUUGGGGUCUGAAGGGGAAUGUUGAAGGGGAAUGUUGGGGUCUGAAGGGGAAUGUUGAAGGGGAAUGUUGGGGUCUGAAGGGGAAUGUUAAAGGCGAAUGUUGGCGUCUGAAGGGGAAUGAUGAAGGGGAAUGUUGGGGUCUGAAGGGGAACGUUGAAGGCAAACGUUGGGGUCUGAAGGGGAAUGUUGAAGGUGAAUGUUGGGGUCUGAAGGGGAAUGUUGAAGGUGAAUGUUGGGGUCUGAAGGGGAUUGUUGAAGGCGAAUGUUGGGGUCUGAAGGGGAAUGUUGAAGGUGAAUGUUGGGGUCUGAAGGGGAAUGUUGAAGGUGAAUGUUGGGGUCUGAAGGGGAAUGUUGAAGGUGAAUGUUGGGGUCUGAAGGGGAAUGUUGAAGGCGAAUGUUGGGGUCUGAAGGGGAAUGUUGAAGGCGAAUGUUGGGG
ensembl:lncRNA